GCCAGGGAUAGCUCAGUCGGUUGGAGCAUGAGACUUAAUCUUAAGGGUGUGGGUUCAAGCCCCUUGUUGGGCA